ACACAGACAGAAAGCAAAUACAGCAACAGCUAGUCAAACCUGCUCUACAAAUUAUGGAUUGGUGCUAUUUGAUGACCCCCAAUUAUCAAAAUCCUUAGUUUUGUAUUUUGUGCAGUUAAAAGGGCCAAGAAGGCUGUUAUUACCAGUCCCUUUAUGGUGGUAAGAUAUAGUUGGUUACCAAACAGAGUCUAUCUGCAUCAAACCAGAAGAAUCCGGAUGCCUCUAGAAUGAGACCUAGGAGUUGGUGAUGCCAAGUAACAAGAUCAAGAUGAAAUUUUGAUAGGUUGUCAGUUUACUUACGCGUCUCUUGCAGAAGCAUUAGCAGCUCUAGCAUCUACAGAAUAUACCAGGGGAUAAAACUUCUCGGCUGUUAAACUAUUGGUUUUGAAGCUCAGGCCCU
rnacentral:lncRNA from 1 species